UAAAUAUAAGCGUAUCCUGCUCCAUGAAUAUUAAAUAGCCGCAGUCUCCUGUGCUAAGGUAGCAUAAUCACUUGUCUUUUAAUUUAAGAAUAGAAUGAACGGAAAAACUAUUUUCUACUGUUCCUUUAAAAAACAAUAAACUUACUUUAAAAGUAAAAAUUCUUUUAAAAGCAAGAAAGACGACAAGACCCUAAUAAACUUUACUAUAGUUUUGCUGGGGAGGCUUUUAUAAAAAUAUCUUAAAUAUGUUAACUCUACUUUUAAAAUAAGUUACUAUAGGGAUAACAGCAUUAUAUAAUUCUAUAGCUCUUAUAUACAAUUAUACUUGUGACCUCGAUGUUGAAUUAAAUGUCUAUAAUAAGUAAAAUAAUUACAAGAAAGUCUGUUCGACUUUUAAAUAUUUACA
rnacentral:rRNA from 1 species